rnacentral:rRNA from 1 species
UAGGGAAUCUUCGGCAAUGGGGGGAACCCUGACCGAGCAACGCCGCGUGAGUGAAGAAGGUUUUCGGAUCGUAAAGCUCUGUUGUUAAGGAAGAACGAGUGUGAGAAUGGAAAGUUCAUGCUGUGACGGUACUUAACCAGAAAGGGACGGCUAACUACGUGCCAGCAGCCGCGGUAAUACGUAGGUCCCGAGCGUUGUCCGGAUUUAUUGGGCGUAAAGCGAGGGUAGGCGGUUAGAAAAGUCUGAAGUGAAAGCCCCCGGCUCAACCGGGGAGGGUCAUUGGAAACUGGUUGACUUGAGUGCAGAAGAGGAGAGUGGAAUUCCAUGUGUAGCGGUGAAAUGCGUAGAUAUAUGGAGGAACACCAGUGGCGAAGGCGACUCUCUGGUCUGUAACUGACGCUGAGGUUCGAAAGCGUGGGUAGCAAACAGG